AUUCUCAGAGGGCGGAGCCAGAGAGCAGUGAUUGGUCAGACCAAAGAUAGAAGACAGCACGCUAGCGUAUCUAGUCUGUGUUUAUCUAUGGUCGGCACGUCUGGUAGCAUCUCUGGCUGCUGUUGACCUUGUUUUUGGAGUAAAACACGGUGGAAGCUGAAUUAGUGAGGAUGACUCCUGCUCCUGUCAUCUCUAAGCUCCUCACACAUCUUUACCUGCACAUGAGGAAAAUCACUCCUGUAGAAUGCAGAUGUUCAGAGGGAGAUGAUGCCACAUCUGGUCCAGCUGAUGGAAGGUCUUGAAGUUCUCUGACUGGCCUCGACUGAAGAUGGUCGUCUCACUGGAUUUAAGGUUCAGAUGCUCAGUAACAAACUCCACCAAUGAGCCAACAAGGAAGCUUUAGGUUUAUUAAAUGUUGCUAUGAAGGUUUCGCUGUUUUUCUUUGUGAAUGCAAUGUGCUCCAACUGAAACUUGAAUUAGAACUUAGAAGUAAAUCCUUCCAUCUGAAAGGAUUUAGUUGCAUUAAUAACCUCAUAACAUUAUAAUUUUUCUUCCAGUCUUGGUUGGAAAUAGAAUCUCUGUAUUGAUUCAGUUAAAAACUGAACUUCACAGCAUGUUGAAGCAAAACAACCAGAUGAAAACUGUGAUGGUGUUGGAUUGUCAGACCGUAAUGUUGCAGCUCAAAGCAGCUUUUCUAUCUCAGUUCAUUCUGACAUUCAGCUAUGAAUCAACACAGCAGAUGGUGAUCCAUGCUGUGAAAGUCUCACAUCUCCUGAUUUAAUGGAGCUGCUUUGCACUUUUUACACUGUUUAUUCACCAACACUUUAUUUAAUAAAAGUCCCAUCUAGUUUUUAUGAGGAAUGUGAUGUUUUAAUUUCUCUGUGAAUAACUGCAGUCUAAUGCAACAGCUGGAGUUGUAACAUCUGUCCUGAUAUUGAUCAUGAAGUAUUGAUCAGAGUACUUAUGGUCAGCAGUCAUCCCUGAAGUUUUAUAUUAAAAUCUUUACUUGUGUUGUGAACUUUGGUAAGAAGCAGAAACGUUAGCGUUGCCAUGGAUACAUGAGUGUUAAAUUCUGUCCAUGUUUCCAUUUUGGGAAAUUCAGUCCAGUUCCAGAAUGUGGAGGAAUUUAGUCUCACAAUCACAGACAACAAAUAUUAUCUGAAAGUCGGGUUAUUGUUGUUUAUCAGCACAAUACAAAAAGAUUAAUGUUAGAAAUAUUCCAGUUCAGACUCUAGAAUAUCAUGAUUUAUGUAAAUUUACCUCAAUAAUAUGAAUGUUCAGGUUAAGAUUGUACAGUGAUAUUUAUUAUGUAAGUUUAGCUGAUUAAAGUUUAUAACUCUGCACUGAAGUAUUAUUUAAAUUGACAUCAUUAUUAUGAUAUUUAGGGUCAGACCCUACAGUAUUGAGAUUAAGAAAUCAAAUAUUCUAUGAAAUGUAAAUACACUGAACUCAUUUGGAUAUAUUUAAGUGAGACUCUACAAUAUUAUUUGACACAAAUCUAUCUAAAUCAAAAUUUUAAUAAUUUUCACACCAAACAUUUACUGAUUUAAACAUUAAAAUCACUCCUUUCUAAUCCUCUGCUAUACUUUCAAACCUGAGGCCUUAAAUAGAAACACACAAGGAUCUGAUUGAAGGAACUUCUGCAGAGUCCUGGUUCCAGAACAUGAUGAUAGAAUUAUAGACAAACUUUAACAAAAGCUGCCUGAGAGUUUACAGGUUUUUAUUUAUGGAUUUCUUCAGUAAUUUAAUGAGUGUUAUCAGCAAUAAUCAAGUGUUCAUUUGAUGAACUUCAUUUCCUAAAACAUACAGAAUUGGAGCUCAUAUCUUUGGCAGCUGUAAAGUUUCUGCUCCUUCAAAGUUCACAACACAAUGAAUGAAUUCCUAAAACACUCUCAGUGUUGGAGAGCGUUUGUGAUGCUGAAGCAGUGAUCAGUUUUUCUGUUUCUUCUCUGGAGAUGCACAAUGAGGGACGUCUGCAGAGACUGAGAAAGAGUCUCACCACAUCCUGACAUGAGGAAAAAGACUUUAUUGAAGACUACAAUGAGAAAAACUAUCAGACAGCAGACGGCUGCAUUCAAGUCUGUAGCUGCUGAAUUCAUGGAUGAACCAUCUGGCACUAGAGAGGAAGACCAUCAAACAUCCACAUCAGCUGAUGGAGGUCCAAGAGUCUCACCAAACAAACAACCUACAGAGUGAAGACCUCAAAUCUGAUUGGAUGGCCUCCUAUUCAGCCACGUGUGAACAAAUGCCUCUAAGUUGAUUUGUUUUCUAAAAUAAAUCUAGUUUGAGUCCUAAUCUAUGCCUGUGUGUUUGCUUCUUUACACCGCUGUUAACAGUUUAGGCUGUUAGAUUGUUCCAGAUAAGACAAGUACAAGAUUCUUCAGAGCCGUUCUACCACGAGCCUGACAGGAAGAACUCCAACAGCUACUGAAUGUUCCUGUGGUUCCCUCAAGGCUACAGGAGGAGCCCUACGAGGACAAGAAGGUCCACCUGAUG
ensembl:lncRNA